UACGGAGGGAGCUAGCGUUAUUCGGAAUUACUGGGCGUAAAGCGCACGUAGGCGGCUUUGUAAGUAAGAGGUGAAAGCCCAGAGCUCAACUCUGGAAUUGCCUUUUAGACUGCAUCGCUUGAAUCAUGGAGAGGUCAGUGGAAUUCCGAGUGUAGAGGUGAAAUUCGUAGAUAUUCGGAAGAACACCAGUGGCGAAGGCGGCUGACUGGACAUGUAUUGACACUGAGGCACGAAAGCGUGGGGAUCAAACAGG
rnacentral:rRNA from 1 species